rnacentral:rRNA from 1 species
GACAGAGGGUGCAAACGUUGCUCGGAAUCACUGGGCGUAAAGCGUGCGUAGGUGGCGUGUUAAGUGUGAUGUUAAAUCGCGGGGCUCAACCCUGUCGGUGCAUCGCAUACUGGCAUGCUAGAGGGAAGCAGAGGCAAGUGGAAUUUGUAGUGUAGCAGUGAAAUGCGUAGAUAUUACAAGGAACACCAAUGACGAAGGCAGCUUGCUGGGCUUCUUCUGACACUGAGGUACGAAAGCGUGGGGAGCGAACAGG